rnacentral:rRNA from 1 species
AUUGAACGCUGGCGGAAUGCUUUACACAUGCAAGUCGAACGGCAGCACGGGGGCAGCCCUGGUGGCGCGUGGCGAACGGGUGAGUAAUACAUCGGAACGUGCCCGGUCGAGGGGGAUAACGUAGCGAAAGUUAAGCUAAUACAGUAUACGAUCAGAGGAUGAACGCGGGGGACCAUCAGGCCUAGAGCGAUUGGCGCGGCCGAUGUCAGAUUAGGUAGUUGGUGGGGUAAAGGCCUACCAAGCCGACGAUCUGUAGCAGGUCUGAGAGGACGACCAGCCACACUGGGACUGAGACACGGCCCAGACUCCUACGGGAGGCAGCAGUGGGGAAUUUUGGACAAUGGGCGCAAGCCUGAUCCAGCCAUGCCGCGUGCAGGACGAAGGCCUUCGGGUUGUAAACUGCUUUUGUACGGAACGAAAAAGCUCUGGCUAAUACCUGGGGCUCAUGACGGUACCGUAAGAAUAAGCACCGGCUAACUACGUG